rnacentral:rRNA from 1 species
CAGCCGCCACGGUAAUACGAGGGGGGCAAGCGUUGUUCGGAAUUAUUGGGCGUAAAGGGUGCGUAGGCGGUUUGGCAAGUUUGGUGUGAAAUCUUCGGGCUCAACUCGAAGUCUGCAUCGAAAACUGCCGGGCUUGAGUAUGGGAGAGGUGAGUGGAAUUUCCGGUGUAGCGGUGAAAUGCGUAGAUAUCGGAAGGAACACCUGUGGCGAAAGCGGCUCACUGGACCAUAACUGACGCUGAUGCACGAAAGCUAGGGGAGCAAACAGGAUUAGAUACCCCAGUAGUCCCUGUCUCUUAUAC